CAGGGCUGCAGCCAAGAUAUCUGAUGGUUCCCAGUACUAUGUUCUGCUCAUCAUCACUGAUGGGGUCAUCUCUGACAUGACACAGACCAAAGAGGCCAUUGUCAGUGCCUCCUCGCUGCCCAUGUCUAUCAUUAUUGUUGGUGUGGGACCAGCCAUGUUUGAGGCAAUGGAAGAGUUGGACGGUGAUGAUGUGCGUGUGUCCUCCAGGGGACGUUAUGCAGAGCGGGACAUUGUUCAGGUAGCCCUGACCCUGGGGUGGUGGUAAUGCCGAGAGGCACAGUGGAAAGGAGAGGCUAAGUAGUAACCACUUUCCCUUACCGCCUUCUCAGUAGCCAGCCUUUCUCCCCUCAUUCUUUCC